UGGAUAAGCAGAAAGAAAAGGGUGCGCGAAUGAUGGAUGAAAUUGGAGAAUCCGAACGAGAGUGCUCUCCCAUGAGAGAAGAUGCUAUAAAGGGCAACUGAGAGGUUGGUCUCACGAUGGGCUAUGCUGGAGACGCUUUCUCCCGGGACAGGUGAUGCUGGAAAGGGCAGUCUGCCUAGGGACAGUGCUAGCGAAACAGAAAGCAGUGCUCAUCUGGUGGAUGAUGCUGACAAGCUGCACAAAAAGGAGCUCCCCCAACGGAUGGUGCUGUAGAUGUUGUUGGAGAAGGCCCUUUGCGAAUGGACGAUGCCAGAGGCAGUGCUCCAGGAAGCGCUAUUCAUAAAGAUUAAAGCAGAGGUGGUGCUGGAGACGGUGCUCACCACAUACACGAUGCUAGCAACACUACAGAAGGUGCUGCUCAUAGUAAGGACUAUGCUAGAGGCGGUGCUCACCAGAAGAACGACGCAAAGGGUGGUGCCAGGAACGGUGCACACUCGAAGGGAAGGCAAUGAAGACAGAGCAACCAUGACACAUGGUGCUGGAGAGCUCAACCAAGAGAGUGCGCCUGCAACGCAUGGCGCUGGAGAUGGCAACGGAGAGGGCGAUCACACGAUGGAGAAUGCUGAAGAGGGCAAUCAAGAGGGUGCUCCCAUGAAGGAUGACACUGGAGAAGCCUAAAAAGACAGCGAACCACCACAGGCGACGCUGGAAAAGCACAAGCAUUGGACACGUCUGCAGACGUAGCUUGAGAGGAAAAUGGAGCGGGUACUGCCGUGGAGGAUGAUGGUGGAGAUGCCAAUGGAGAGGGCGCUCCUGUGACAGGCGACACUGGUGAAGGCACUGGAGAGGGUUGCUCCCAUGACGGGCGGUGCUGAAGAGAGCAGUCUGCCAACAGACAUUGCUGGAGAAACAGAAAGCGGCGCUCGUCUGGUGGAUGAUGCUGACAAGAUGCAGCGAAAGGAGCUCCCACGAUGGAUGGUGCCGAGGAUGGUGCCGAGGAUGGUGCCGAGUGCACUUAGGCAAUGGACUAUGCCAGAGGAGGCAUUGCCAAAAGCGAUAAUCAGAACGGUUAAACAGAAGCGGUGCAGGAGAUGGUGCUCUCCAGAUAGACAGUGCCAGUGGCACGACAAAAGAUGCUGCUCACAGUCAGGACAGUGCAAGAGGCGGUGCUGGAGAUGGCUCGCCAGAAGGACAAUGUCACAGGUAGCACAGGAGAUUGCACCAUCCGCAAGGACGAUGCCACACGUGAGGCCAUAAACAGCGCUCCCGCAACAAUCCACGCUGCCCUGAGCGCUUCUGGGACUGGUGGCUCUGCUGAUGGCGCUUACCAGGAGGACAAAGCAAGGGGCGGCACCGGAGAUGGUGCUCACUGGAAGGAUAAUGCUGAAGGCAAAACCGUAGACGGUGCUCACCGGAAGGACAAGGCAAGAGGUAGUGCAGGAGAUGGCACAGAUCAGAACGACGAUGCUAGAGGCGGUGCCUGACAGGGCGUACUCCGGAAGUACAGUGUAAGUGAUAGGGCACCUGAGACAGGCAGUGCUGCUGAAGCAGGGCGGCGCAUAAUGUUCCCUGUGAACAAAGCUGAGGAAGCAGCAGGAUGUGGUCUUUCAAUGGCAGAGGAAGCUGAAAAAGUAGCAUGAGGCUCUGCUCCCACGACAGGCGACAAAGGAGAAGCGUAAGGUGGGGGUGCUCCCGUGAAGGUGGAUGCUGGAUAAGCAGAAAGAAAAGGGUGCGCGUAAAAUGGAUGAAAUUGGAGAAUCCGAACGAGAGUGCUCUCGCAUGAGAGAAGAUGCUAUAAAGGGCAACUGAGAGGUUGGUCUCAC